AAAGUCGUAACAAGGUUUCCGUAGGUGAACCUGCGGAAGGAUCAUUAACACGUAUCCAUACGUAUUAUAUACCAAACCGUGAACUUGUUUGUAAACUAUUGAGAAGGGGUAGUUAGGUGUAAAAGCCUGGCGAGACUUCUGUAACCUUUAUUUUAAACCUAUAAACCACUUGUAAACCAAUUGAACUAAACCUAAGAGUUAUGAAUGCGAAAGCAAUCAUAUUCUGUAUUUACGAAACGUAAAAACAAUUCUUAGCAACGGAUAUCUUGGUUCUC
rnacentral:misc_RNA from 1 species